UAGAUAUUAGUAAAACUAUUACAUAACUUUGUCAAAGUUAAAUUACUGGUUAGACUCCUGUAUAUCUUU